rnacentral:rRNA from 1 species
UGGGGAAUAUUGCACAAUGGGCGAAAGCCUGAUGCAGCGACGCCGCGUGAGGGAUGACGGCCUUCGGGUUGUAAACCUCUUUCAGCAGGGAAGAAGCGAAAGUGACGGUACCUGCAGAAGAAGCGCCGGCUAACUACGUGCCAGCAGCCGCGGUAAUACGUAGGGCGCAAGCGUUGUCCGGAAUUAUUGGGCGUAAAGAGCUCGUAGGCGGUUAGUCGCGUCUGCUGUGAAAACUCGAGGCUCAACCUCGGGCUUGCAGUGGGUACGGGCUGACUAGAGUGCGGUAGGGGUGACUGGAAUUCCUGGUGUAGCGGUGGAAUGCGCAGAUAUCAGGAGGAACACCGAUGGCGAAGGCAGGUCACUGGGCCGCAACUGACGCUGAGGAGCGAAAGCAUGGGGAGCGAACAGGAUUAGAUAGCCCUGGUAGUCCAUGCCGUAAACGUUGGGCACUAGGUGUGGGGUCCAUUCCACGGAUUCCGUGCCGCAGCAAA